CUAACACAUGCAAGUCGAGGGGCAGCGAAGAGGUAGCAAUACCUUUGUCGGCGACCGGCGCACGGGUGAGUAACACGUAUGCAAUCCACCUGUAACAGGGGGAUAACCCGGAGAAAUCCGGACUAAUACCCCAUAAUAUGGGCUCUCCGCAUGGAGGGUUCAUUAAAGAGAGCAAUUUUGGUUACAGACGAGCAUGCGCUCCAUUAGCCAGUUGGCGGGGUAACGGCCCACCAAAGCGACGAUGGAUAGGGGUUCUGAGAGGAAGGUCCCCCACAUUGGAACUGAGACACGGUCCAAACUCCUACGGGAGGCAGCAGUGAGGAAUAUUGGUCAAUGGUCGGCAGACUGAACCAGCCAAGUCGCGUGAGGGAAGACGGCCCUACGGGUUGUAAACCUCUUUUGUCGGAGAGUAAAGUACGCUACGUGUAGUGUAUUGCAAGUAUCCGAAGAAAAAGCAUCGGCUAACUCCGUGCCAGCAGCCGCGGUAAUACGGAGGAUGCGAGCGUUAUCCGGAUUUAUUGGGUUUAAAGGGUGCGUAGGCGGCACGCCAAGUCAGUGGUGAAAUUUCCGGGCUCAACCCGGAGUGUGCCGUUGAAACUGGCGAGCUAGAGUACACAAGAGGCAGGCGGAAUGCGUGGUGUAGCGGUGAAAUGCAUAGAUAUCACGCAGAACCCCGAUUGCGAAGGCAGCCUGCUAGGGUGAAACAGACGCUGAGGCAC
rnacentral:rRNA from 1 species